rnacentral:lncRNA from 1 species
CAAAUCUCCCGGAUACUAUGACGGACGAUACUGGGUUAUGUGGAAGCUUCCCAUGUUCGGGUGCACCGACUCAUCGCAGGUGUUGAAGGAGCUUGAUGAGUGCGUCAAGGAGUACCCCCAGGCGUACGUCCGUAUCAUCGGAUUCGACAACGUUCGCCAAGUCCAGUGCAUCAGUUUCAUUGCUCACCAGCCAGAAUGCUGAUCAAUCUGUCUGUUGAUUUCAUAUAUUUAUCAAUCUUGUUCGGCUCAUAUAUAAACUUCUUGCAAUCUCAUUUCAUUUCUUUCCGUUUUAAAUUUCUUACUUGUAUCUCCAACACAAGGAAAUUGGAACUAUAGAGGAUUAUAUGUAGCGAUUGUUGGUGAUUAUAUAUAUCUACUUGUUUGUUUUCCCUGCACCUUCUAAAUACUUGCAUCAUAUGCUUUCAUGUCGUGAUGUACUUUUUUAUAUAUCUCCGAUUCUCCAUGCAGUAAUUAACCACUACGGUCUUUUUACACCAACAAAUUAUAUGAUAACAUAUAGAAACAGUUCAUUGCUUCCGUAAUAUCUGCCUUGGUACAUGUUCUCUUGUAUCACUACAAAACCUUUCACGUCCAACAAUGUGAAAGCAAAUUCUCUGUAAUAGAAAUGGACAUCUGCUAGCGACAUUUCAGAUAAUAAUAAAGUGUACUUAUGCACCAUCUGGUUGGAAGGAAUGAACGGGAAAAACAUGAACAAAAUCAAAGGUAAACGAGAAGUAUACAAGAGUGAAGAGUGAUGAAGAACUAGAAAGUGCAGACUUUAUUAUGAGUUUCACAAUAUAAUGAGUAAAAUAUAGGAAUGAUCAUUUAUCCCUAUAUUGGUAAGAUUGAGAUAUUAGUUUUUUUUUGUGUGCCAAACUAGUACAAAUUUCAUUUCAUUCUCCCUAAACGUAAUUCUUCCAACAAAAUGGGGCAUUACAUAAAGGUAUAAAGAUGAGGAGAUUAAAGAUUGACAGCUGCGAUAAGGGAAGGUAUGGAAAACAUGUGUAACUAUAUAAAUGUCGAACACCAAUAAGAUCCAAAUAACUCAGAUAACAUCCAAACUCAGUAACAAAUUGGUUAACAGAUAAAAUUCAGAAGCGAAUGCAAAAUAGUUUAUAAAAUUAGAUUCUAAGAUUCAAAAUUUCUAGUAUUCAGAUUAUAUGCAGAUGAAAGAGGAAGGGAGAUUUAUUGAAUAAUUUAGGCUUGACAAAACACAAUAAAAUGAUACACAUAGACUAGUAUACUCUAAUACUUAAUGAGCAGCAUAUAUUCUUAUUCUUAACUACCGUCUAUUCUAUUAUAUCAAAGAAACAUAAAUUAUUGCAAAGCUGUAAAUUCACAUUAAGAAGCUUAAACAAAUUACACAACUAGAAAUCAACCACUCAAAUUGGAUAUAAUUGGAUAAAUAUCUAAAGAGAUCAUAACUAAGAACCCUAAUUUCAAAGUUAUAAAUGUAUGUAUAUAAAUGAUUCAAAAAUCAGAACUCUGUAACACAAAAAAGCUAGCUGAACUGAGAUGAAGUAGAAAGCAGCAACAAAACAUUUAUGAAUUAAAUAUCUAAAGCUGAUCUAAUUACAAACAUCAACUCACAGUUAUCAAGAGGGGUGUAUUGGAUUGGGAUUUUAAAUCAUUUUUUUGCAUUCAUGAAAUCCGAGGGUAUUCGAUUGAGAUUAUUUGAAAUGCAUUAAAAUCUUGGGGUAUUCAAUUGGGAUUUUGAAUUAUGCUACAAAAUCUGGUGGUAUUCAAUUGGGAUUUUAAAUUAUGCUUUAAAAUCCGGUGGUAUUCAAUUCGGAUUGUUUAAAAUCCAUUAAAAUCUGAUGGUAUUCAAAUGUUGUCGGAUUUUUUUUCAUUUCAUAAAAUGGUGGAUUUUGUGGCAUUGUUCGAUGUAUUUUAAGUUUUAUGAAAUCCCACCAAAAUCAAUGGGAUUUUGAAGCAUUGUGCUUAAAUCCUAUCAACUCUGCGACAUUUCAUCAAGAAUCCGCACAAAAUCAAAAUCACAUGCAAUCCAUUAAAAUCCAUAGACUAAAAACAAUCCAUUAAAAUCUCAAUCGAAUACACCCCCGCAAUUUAUUAAUCAGAUGAGAGGAAGGAAGGGAGAGGGUCAGAGGGAGAGGGAGAGGGAGAGAGAGAGAGAGAGAGGAGUUACAGUGCUACGGCGACGUUCAGCGGCGAUGGAGAAGCCAAAAGCGACCAAGCAUAGUAUUAUUACAAGAAGAUGAACGAGAGAUGAGCCUUUCCCUGCCCCCAUUAUUGUUUCUAAGGGCAUCUUUGAUCACAAUUUCAAGCUUCAUAUUUUUUUCACUUUUAAUUUUAUAGAUAGAUUAAUCAAUCUCCAAUCAUCCAUUUAUCUUCCUAUGUAAAGUCAUUUACUAGAUAAAUUAUAUUAUUUUAUAAAAAAAAAUUAAAUAACGAAAUAUAUGAUCUUUCUCGGAUGAAGAUAACUUGCAAAUUUAAUGGUAUAGUUUAGAAAUUGGGGUUGAGAAGUACCAGUAGUUAUGCUAUAUUUACCUGAUGAUCUCGUAUCGUAACUUUUUUUACACGUGGGAUUUUUUUGCUUACAGCUCAUACUCUAUAACACACUUCCGCCAUUUCACAUGUGACUUCAUCUUUUGACCAGGGUUCUGUAAAUAGAAUUUUGAGCAAGAUCCCCUUAAUACAUAACUGAAUAAACAACACUCGUAGAGAUGAAUUCUGCUGGCGGAACUAGGGAAGAAACCCUAGCUUAGUCAAAGUUUUUUUUUUCUUCCAGAUAUUUGUUUUUUUUCAGAUAUUUUUUUAUUUGAGCUCUUAAAAAUAACAGUGAACCAAUAAAAAGUAUUUAUUGUGCAAAUUUUAAUUCUAGAUUAUUUUGAUUCAUGUCAUAUUGUCAUUGACUAACAGGCCAAAGUCAUUUUGUUAAUGGGCUCUAUUUUCUUGACCAAAAUCAUACUGUUUCCCCUACUAUUAUCCUGAGCCCAUGUUUUCAAAUUUCAAUUACGCCCAACCACCAGUCCAGAGUAGUUGUUGUUGGGCCACAAGGUAACCAUCCAAUGUCUAAACUAAUCAUAGUCCAAAUAAAAUUUUUUCAUAAAAACUGCGUGUACGUGAAUCCAGGGCAGAGGACUGAACAUGACUCCACUUGAGUUGAGCAAGAAAACCGCAAUCAUAUAUCUUUGAUUUUUAAAAUUGAAAACCGCAACCGUCAAUCGGGGUCGGUUUCGGUUUCGGUUUAAGAAACUUCGAUUCGGUUAAUAGUCGGCUCGGUUUCGAUUACAAAAUCGACAAAUAUAAGAAUGAAAAAUAGUACACAAACGAGACAAAUUAAUGCACGUAAUCUAGACAUAAUAAUUAAUAUAAUAUUAAAAUUUAACAAAAGUAACCGUAUUUUAUUUAAAACACUCUUGCCAGUAAUAUAAAACUAGUCUUAGUCAGAAUUUUCAUACAGAAUACGAAUCAGAACUUCCGGCUGAUUGGCUUUUUUAACACAUGCUUCAUGAAGAUUGAGAAAAUGUGACAGGGAAAAUAGGAAAUACAGAUUGGCAGUGGCCAGUCAGCAUGAGAUAUUCACUGAACAUCAAAUAUUAACAUAGACGGAUGUUUCUGUAAGUGUUAGAAUAGAUUUAUUAUAUUUAUUACAUAUUACAUAUAUUAUUUAUUAUUAUUUUAAUAACCGGUUCCGUUUGGUUUUUAUUGGUUCGGUUGGGAGGUAUAACCGGAACCAAACCGUUUAAAUCAGAUCAAUUUUUAAUUUUUCGGUUUCUAAUUGGUUUUUUUGAGUUUUUCCAAAUUUCGAUUCGUUUUGAUUUUAAAUCGGUUUUUUGCUAAGUCCUAAAUUAAGGUAUGGGUUCAAUUAUAGACAAGGUUAAGCUUACUUUUUAAAAAGUCUAACAUCACAAGUAAAUGGUUCACAAGUAAAUGGUCUUAAAACUAUAAAGAAACCAGGAUUGAAGCUCAAAAAUUAUCACCACUACACCCUUUUUUCGUGGUGCAACAAAUUUGGCCUAAAUCAAACGCAAAUCAAACGCAUUUAUACAAGACAAAUGACAGUCUUAAUAUAGGAUUACCCCAUUUUGGUUCAACCAUGAACACUGUUUGAACUAUGCGAUAGUUUCUUUACUAAAAUAUACUUCAGACUCUGGAACUGGAAGGACUAUGGGCCACUUAAAUGCAGCAUAUAUCUUGCAAUUUGAGCUCGAUAAUGGCAAAUUCCAAAUGCAAUCUAUCCACACAUUACACUCAAGUGCGAAAGAAUGAUCCAUGUAUUUUAAGGGUUUUGGUUCCUGGCAUGUGUACAUCAGGGAGUACUUAUAUAACAUACUGAUUUUGGAUCGUUGGAUGAUAUAUGCAUCUAACGGACAUAAUUAUAAAAAAAAUUCGUCAUGCUCAAUUUUUUUUUAUUUGUUUUUUUGCAUAUGAUAUGUAACUUGAAUAAUAAGAGGAAGGGGGAAAGUGAUGCAACUGCAAUUGAAGAAGUCAGUAGUCACUUAUUUAAAUUUCAAAGUACAAAGCCCAAAUAAGCAAUUUCCAAAGAGCUAAGCAAUGAAGGGCCAAGAAAUGGCUAGCUACUGCUAAAGAAAGCAAGUCCUCAUUCCUUGAUCAGAAGAGAUAAGGCAACCGCUCUCAUGCCACGUGUCAACUCAAUAAGAGUGUUUAAUGAUAAGGCAACCAAUCCAAAUUGCUCACACUGUGUGGCUACCAUGUUGCCUUGUCAACUUCACUGUAAUUCAAUGGUCAGAAAAAUUCUGAACUUUAGGAGGUGAAUUGGGAACCAUUGGAUCAGCAGGUUAAACGAUAAUGAGAUGAAAUGCCUAUAUAUUGGAUAGGUGAAGGAACAGAAGCAAGCCUCUCAAACACAAGAGAAGAAAGUAAAAGAACAAGAAGAGAGUAUUAGUACUCAUGGCUUCUUCAAUGAUAUCAUCAGUAGCACCGGUUACCCGUGCAUCCCCUGCUCAGGCUAACAUGGUCGCGCCUUUCACCGGCCUCAAGUCCAUCGCAUCAUUCCCCGUCACCCGAAAGCUUGAGAAUGACAUUACCUCUAUUACCAGCAACGGAGGAAGAGUUCAAUGCAUGAAGGUAUAUAUCUAUACUACUUAAUACUCAGAUAUAUUAUGUGCUAAUGAGGAACCAGUAUAACAUGGCAGAACAUUUCUUAGUUAGUUAUUGCUCAUUUGCUCUCAAAGUAGCACAAUUCUAAGUCAGAUAAAGCAGUCCUAGGUAACUUUAGAGUGAGUAACUUCAGAAUUUUCCUUGAAUAUGUCAAUAAUAUACAAAAAUUAUGUCAACACCUCGAUUAAAAGAUUGUUUUGCUUGUAUUUUCCUCCUGAGCUGAUCUGAGAAAUUUUGUUCUCAAGUCAAACAAUUAGAGACUUUAGCUCAAGAGAAAUGUCACCCCCUGGCAUUGUAGCCUGCGGGAUGUCCUCUAUAUUUUACCAUAGUAACCAUGUCGCCCCUCAAGUGAAGUAGAAUUUAAUUCAAUAAUGAAAUUGAACUACCCAGUAGAGGAAAUUUCUAGUUUUUUUGUAUAAUUUCCACCUUAGCUUGCUCUUAGUAACCCCCCUCAGUCUCAUUAAAUAGUCGGAAAUGUAUAUUCUUAUGAAGACAUGAUCACGUUCUUCAAAUUUUGCAAUCCAACACUGUUUCUAGACAAAUAUACAAUCUGUCGGUUUGUAAUUGAGUAAAUAUGACAUUCACAAAAUAUAUCAAGGAGAACACACCUUGGUUCUGAAAGUGAAUGAUAAAUUAGUUAGGUAACAUAUGUGAAUGGUGCAAGUGCAGGUAUGGCCACCAAUUAACAUGAAGAAGUUCGAGACACUCUCAUACCUUCCUCCUCUCACCACCGAACAAUUGGCAAAGGAGGUCGACUACCUUCUCCGUUCCGGAUGGGUUCCUCGUCUGGAAUUCGAGUUGGAGGUAAGCACUUUCUUCCUACAUAUUUUUCAUGUUCUCUGUUACAUGUUUCUUGACAUUGCUGAUGACAAUUGUGUGUUAAACCAAUAUGCAGCACGGUUUCGUGUACCGUGAGCACAACAAAUCUCCCGGAUACUAUGACGGACGAUACUGGGUUAUGUGGAAGCUUCCCAUGUUCGGGUGCACCGACUCAUCGCAGGUGUUGAAGGAGCUUGAUGAGUGCGUCAAGGAGUACCCCCAGGCGUACGUCCGUAUCAUCGGAUUCGACAACGUUCGCCAAGUCCAGUGCAUCAGUUUCAUUGCUCACCAGCCAGAAUGCUGAUCAAUCUGUCUGUUGAUUUCAUAUAUUUAUCAAUCUUGUUCGGCUCAUAUAUAAACUUCUUGCAAUCUCAUUUCAUUUCUUUCCGUUUUAAAUUUCUUACUUGUAUCUCCAACACAAGGAAAUUGGAACUAUAGAGGAUUAUAUGUAGCGAUUGUUGGUGAUUAUAUAUAUCUACUUGUUUGUUUUCCCUGCACCUUCUAAAUACUUGCAUCAUAUGCUUUCAUGUCGUGAUGUACUUUUUUAUAUAUCUCCGAUUCUCCAUGCAGUAAUUAACCACUACGGUCUUUUUACACCAACAAAUUAUAUGAUAACAUAUAGAAACAGUUCAUUGCUUCCGUAAUAUCUGCCUUGGUACAUGUUCUCUUGUAUCACUACAAAACCUUUCACGUCCAACAAUGUGAAAGCAAAUUCUCUGUAAUAGAAAUGGACAUCUGCUAGCGACAUUUCAGAUAAUAAUAAAGUGUACUUAUGCACCAUCUGGUUGGAAGGAAUGAACGGGAAAAACAUGAACAAAAUCAAAGGUAAACGAGAAGUAUACAAGAGUGAAGAGUGAUGAAGAACUAGAAAGUGCAGACUUUAUUAUGAGUUUCACAAUAUAAUGAGUAAAAUAUAGGAAUGAUCAUUUAUCCCUAUAUUGGUAAGAUUGAGAUAUUAGUUUUUUUUUGUGUGCCAAACUAGUACAAAUUUCAUUUCAUUCUCCCUAAACGUAAUUCUUCCAACAAAAUGGGGCAUUACAUAAAGGUAUAAAGAUGAGGAGAUUAAAGAUUGACAGCUGCGAUAAGGGAAGGUAUGGAAAACAUGUGUAACUAUAUAAAUGUCGAACACCAAUAAGAUCCAAAUAACUCAGAUAACAUCCAAACUCAGUAACAAAUUGGUUAACAGAUAAAAUUCAGAAGCGAAUGCAAAAUAGUUUAUAAAAUUAGAUUCUAAGAUUCAAAAUUUCUAGUAUUCAGAUUAUAUGCAGAUGAAAGAGGAAGGGAGAUUUAUUGAAUAAUUUAGGCUUGACAAAACACAAUAAAAUGAUACACAUAGACUAGUAUACUCUAAUACUUAAUGAGCAGCAUAUAUUCUUAUUCUUAACUACCGUCUAUUCUAUUAUAUCAAAGAAACAUAAAUUAUUGCAAAGCUGUAAAUUCACAUUAAGAAGCUUAAACAAAUUACACAACUAGAAAUCAACCACUCAAAUUGGAUAUAAUUGGAUAAAUAUCUAAAGAGAUCAUAACUAAGAACCCUAAUUUCAAAGUUAUAAAUGUAUGUAUAUAAAUGAUUCAAAAAUCAGAACUCUGUAACACAAAAAAGCUAGCUGAACUGAGAUGAAGUAGAAAGCAGCAACAAAACAUUUAUGAAUUAAAUAUCUAAAGCUGAUCUAAUUACAAACAUCAACUCACAGUUAUCAAGAGGGGUGUAUUGGAUUGGGAUUUUAAAUCAUUUUUUUGCAUUCAUGAAAUCCGAGGGUAUUCGAUUGAGAUUAUUUGAAAUGCAUUAAAAUCUUGGGGUAUUCAAUUGGGAUUUUGAAUUAUGCUACAAAAUCUGGUGGUAUUCAAUUGGGAUUUUAAAUUAUGCUUUAAAAUCCGGUGGUAUUCAAUUCGGAUUGUUUAAAAUCCAUUAAAAUCUGAUGGUAUUCAAAUGUUGUCGGAUUUUUUUUCAUUUCAUAAAAUGGUGGAUUUUGUGGCAUUGUUCGAUGUAUUUUAAGUUUUAUGAAAUCCCACCAAAAUCAAUGGGAUUUUGAAGCAUUGUGCUUAAAUCCUAUCAACUCUGCGACAUUUCAUCAAGAAUCCGCACAAAAUCAAAAACACAUGCAAUCCAUUAAAAUCCAUAGACUAAAAACAAUCCAUUAAAAUCUCAAUCGAAUACACCCCCGCAAUUUAUUAAUCAGAUGAGAGGAAGGAAGGGAGAGGGUCAGAGGGAGAGGGAGAGGGAGAGAGAGAGAGAGAGAGGAGUUACAGUGCUACGGCGACGUUCAGCGGCGAUGGAGAAGCCAAAAGCGACCAAGCAUAGUAUUAUUACAAGAAGAUGAACGAGAGAUGAGCCUUUCCCUGCCCCCAUUAUUGUUUCUAAGGGCAUCUUUGAUCACAAUUUCAAGCUUCAUAUUUUUUUCACUUUUAAUUUUAUAGAUAGAUUAAUCAAUCUCCAAUCAUCCAUUUAUCUUCCUAUGUAAAGUCAUUUACUAGAUAAAUUAUAUUAUUUUAUAAAAAAAAAUUAAAUAACGAAAUAUAUGAUCUUUCUCGGAUGAAGAUAACUUGCAAAUUUAAUGGUAUAGUUUAGAAAUUGGGGUUGAGAAGUACCAGUAGUUAUGCUAUAUUUACCUGAUGAUCUCGUAUCGUAACUUUUUUUACACGUGGGAUUUUUUUGCUUACAGCUCAUACUCUAUAACACACUUCCGCCAUUUCACAUGUGACUUCAUCUUUUGACCAGGGUUCUGUAAAUAGAAUUUUGAGCAAGAUCCCCUUAAUACAUAACUGAAUAAACAACACUCGUAGAGAUGAAUUCUGCUGGCGGAACUAGGGAAGAAACCCUAGCUUAGUCAAAGUUUUUUUUUUCUUCCAGAUAUUUGUUUUUUUUCAGAUAUUUUUUUAUUUGAGCUCUUAAAAAUAACAGUGAACCAAUAAAAAGUAUUUAUUGUGCAAAUUUUAAUUCUAGAUUAUUUUGAUUCAUGUCAUAUUGUCAUUGACUAACAGGCCAAAGUCAUUUUGUUAAUGGGCUCUAUUUUCUUGACCAAAAUCAUACUGUUUCCCCUACUAUUAUCCUGAGCCCAUGUUUUCAAAUUUCAAUUACGCCCAACCACCAGUCCAGAGUAGUUGUUGUUGGGCCACAAGGUAACCAUCCAAUGUCUAAACUAAUCAUAGUCCAAAUAAAAUUUUUUCAUAAAAACUGCGUGUACGUGAAUCCAGGGCAGAGGACUGAACAUGACUCCACUUGAGUUGAGCAAGAAAACCGCAAUCAUAUAUCUUUGAUUUUUAAAAUUGAAAACCGCAACCGUCAAUCGGGGUCGGUUUCGGUUUCGGUUUAAGAAACUUCGAUUCGGUUAAUAGUCGGCUCGGUUUCGAUUACAAAAUCGACAAAUAUAAGAAUGAAAAAUAGUACACAAACGAGACAAAUUAAUGCACGUAAUCUAGACAUAAUAAUUAAUAUAAUAUUAAAAUUUAACAAAAGUAACCGUAUUUUAUUUAAAACACUCUUGCCAGUAAUAUAAAACUAGUCUUAGUCAGAAUUUUCAUACAGAAUACGAAUCAGAACUUCCGGCUGAUUGGCUUUUUUAACACAUGCUUCAUGAAGAUUGAGAAAAUGUGACAGGGAAAAUAGGAAAUACAGAUUGGCAGUGGCCAGUCAGCAUGAGAUAUUCACUGAACAUCAAAUAUUAACAUAGACGGAUGUUUCUGUAAGUGUUAGAAUAGAUUUAUUAUAUUUAUUACAUAUUACAUAUAUUAUUUAUUAUUAUUUUAAUAACCGGUUCCGUUUGGUUUUUAUUGGUUCGGUUGGGAGGUAUAACCGGAACCAAACCGUUUAAAUCAGAUCAAUUUUUAAUUUUUCGGUUUCUAAUUGGUUUUUUUGAGUUUUUCCAAAUUUCGAUUCGUUUUGAUUUUAAAUCGGUUUUUUGCUAAGUCCUAAAUUAAGGUAUGGGUUCAAUUAUAGACAAGGUUAAGCUUACUUUUUAAAAAGUCUAACAUCACAAGUAAAUGGUUCACAAGUAAAUGGUCUUAAAACUAUAAAGAAACCAGGAUUGAAGCUCAAAAAUUAUCACCACUACACCCUUUUUUCGUGGUGCAACAAAUUUGGCCUAAAUCAAACGCAAAUCAAACGCAUUUAUACAAGACAAAUGACAGUCUUAAUAUAGGAUUACCCCAUUUUGGUUCAACCAUGAACACUGUUUGAACUAUGCGAUAGUUUCUUUACUAAAAUAUACUUCAGACUCUGGAACUGGAAGGACUAUGGGCCACUUAAAUGCAGCAUAUAUCUUGCAAUUUGAGCUCGAUAAUGGCAAAUUCCAAAUGCAAUCUAUCCACACAUUACACUCAAGUGCGAAAGAAUGAUCCAUGUAUUUUAAGGGUUUUGGUUCCUGGCAUGUGUACAUCAGGGAGUACUUAUAUAACAUACUGAUUUUGGAUCGUUGGAUGAUAUAUGCAUCUAACGGACAUAAUUAUAAAAAAAAUUCGUCAUGCUCAAUUUUUUUUUAUUUGUUUUUUUGCAUAUGAUAUGUAACUUGAAUAAUAAGAGGAAGGGGGAAAGUGAUGCAACUGCAAUUGAAGAAGUCAGUAGUCACUUAUUUAAAUUUCAAAGUACAAAGCCCAAAUAAGCAAUUUCCAAAGAGCUAAGCAAUGAAGGGCCAAGAAAUGGCUAGCUACUGCUAAAGAAAGCAAGUCCUCAUUCCUUGAUCAGAAGAGAUAAGGCAACCGCUCUCAUGCCACGUGUCAACUCAAUAAGAGUGUUUAAUGAUAAGGCAACCAAUCCAAAUUGCUCACACUGUGUGGCUACCAUGUUGCCUUGUCAACUUCACUGUAAUUCAAUGGUCAGAAAAAUUCUGAACUUUAGGAGGUGAAUUGGGAACCAUUGGAUCAGCAGGUUAAACGAUAAUGAGAUGAAAUGCCUAUAUAUUGGAUAGGUGAAGGAACAGAAGCAAGCCUCUCAAACACAAGAGAAGAAAGUAAAAGAACAAGAAGAGAGUAUUAGUACUCAUGGCUUCUUCAAUGAUAUCAUCAGUAGCACCGGUUACCCGUGCAUCCCCUGCUCAGGCUAACAUGGUCGCGCCUUUCACCGGCCUCAAGUCCAUCGCAUCAUUCCCCGUCACCCGAAAGCUUGAGAAUGACAUUACCUCUAUUACCAGCAACGGAGGAAGAGUUCAAUGCAUGAAGGUAUAUAUCUAUACUACUUAAUACUCAGAUAUAUUAUGUGCUAAUGAGGAACCAGUAUAACAUGGCAGAACAUUUCUUAGUGAGUUAUUGCUUUCAAAGUAGCACAAUUUUAAGUCAGAUAAAGUAGUCCUAGGUAACUUUAGAGUGAGCAUAACUUUGGAAUUUUCCUUGAAUAUGUAAAUAAUUUACAAAUAUUAUGUCAACACUUCAAAUAAAAGAUGGUUUUGCUUGUAUUUUCCUCCCGAUCUGAUCUGAGAAAUUUUGUUGUCAAGUCAAACAAUUAGAUACUUUAGCUCAAGAGAAAUGUCACUCCCUGGCAAUCCUGGGGGAUAACUUCUAUAUUUUACCAUAGUAACAGGAGUUUGAGAGUCCAAGAUUCGCAGAAAACAUGUGUGUGUCAAUGUGUGAAAGCCUAAUCAUGUCGCCCCUCAAGUGAAGUAGAUUUUAAUUCAAAAUAGAGAUGUGUGAGAACCUAAUCAUGUCCAAGUUUUUUGUAUGAUUUUCACCUUAGCUUGCUCUCAGUAACCCCUCUCUUAGUCUCAUUAAACAGUGACUCUGAAAUGUAUAUUCUUUUAAAGACAUGAUCACGUUCUUCAAAUUUUGCAAUCCAACACUUUUUGUCAAAAAAUAUACUACAAUCUGUCGGUUUCUAAUCGAGUAAAUAUGACAUUCACAAAGUAUAUCACUGAGAACACACCAUGGUGUGAGAGUGAAUAAGAAAUUAGUUAGCUAACAUAUGUGAAUGGUGCAAGCGCAGGUAUGGCCACCAAUUAACAUGAAGAAGUUCGAGACACUCUCGUACCUUCCUCCUCUCACCACCGAACAAUUGGCAAAGGAGGUCGACUACCUUCUCCGUUCCGGAUGGGUUCCUUGUCUGGAAUUCGAGUUGGAGGUAACCACUUUCUUCCUACACAUUUUUCAUGUUCUCUGUUACAUGUUUCUUGACAUUGCUGAUGACAAUUGUGUGUUAAACCAAAAUGUAGCACGGUUUCGUGUACCGUGAGCACAACAAAUCCCCCGGAUACUAUG